rnacentral:rRNA from 1 species
UACGGGGGGGGCAAGCGUUGUUCGGAAUUACUGGGCGUAAAGGGCUCGUAGGCGGCCAACUAAGUCAGACGUGAAAUCCCUCGGCUUAACCGGGGAACUGCGUCUGAUACUGGAUGGCUAGAGGUUGGGAGAGGGAUGCGGAAUUCCAGGUGUAGCGGUGAAAUGCGUAGAUAUCUGGAGGAACACCGGUGGCGAAGGCGGCAUCCUGGACCAAUUCUGACACUGAGGCACGAAAGCGUGGGGAGCAAACAGG